AUCAAAUGCUCUAUUCUUAUAUCAUAUGUGCAUCGGGAGAGUGAGCUUGUACACUUGUGGAGGUGUCCGGUUAGGCUUAACAUUAUAGCCUUUUUCUUAGACAUCAGAUUGAUGUGUGUUUAAAAAUCUCCAGUUGCAAAGAAUCUCUUUUUUUUUUAACUGGCAAAAUGAAUCAAAACCAAGAUCAAAGAUAUAAACCACAGAGCCCUGACCCUGUUGGUGAUAGUCCCACUACACAAGAUGUUUGUUCAGAAACUUCUGUAGUUGCUGAAAAGAAGAAAACACAUGCAUCUUUAUUGAAGGAAAAGUUUGCUGGAUUCAGGCGCACCCGUUCUCUCAAUGCUCCCAGUCCAAACUACCAGUUCGGACCUUGUGGAAGAAUAAUGAAAAAUUCGGCCAUGG